CUCUCUCACUAGUUUCCAAUUCCUCACAAUCACAGUGAUAAUGGAAAAAGAACAUGAACAUGCAUCCAUGGCGUCUCAAAAUCCUAACCGCAGAAACUCCCUUUAUCCAGAGAUUAUAGAUUCCAACCCCGAAUAUUCAAACCCUAACCCAACCUCUUCCUCUCUCUACCCUUCAAUCGACGUCAGCGAGCUCGUCGAAAACCUCUUCCCGGAAAACACAAACCCCUCCGCUCCUCCAAUCGCUGCCGAAGAUGUCCUCAUCAAAGUCCCCGGCGCCAUCCUCCACCUCAUUGAUCAACAAUACAGCUUCGAACUCGCCAUCGGUGACCUCACAAUUAUUCGUCUCAUGCAGGGCGAAAACACCGUCGCCAUUUACGCUUGCGUCGCCGACGAGAUCCAAUGGCCGCUCGCUAAAGACGAAGCCGCCGUAAAGGUCGACGAAUCGCAUUACUUUUUUUGCUUCCGUGCCCCGAAGGAGAAGGACGAUUCCGAUUCGAGUGACGAGGAGGAAGGGGGAAAGCAUAGCCGGCGGAAAGGUCGCCGGAAAGGAGACGACGGUUCGGAUUUGCUCAGUUACGGAUUGACGAUUGCGUCGAAGGGUCAGGAAGGUUUGUUGAAGGAGCUUGAUGAGGUUUUGAAGGAAUGUAGCAAUUUUUCUGUUCAGGAGGUUUCGGAGAAUGCGAAGAAGAAAGGAGAGGCUUUAGAUGGUUCUUUGGCGAUGGAGAUAUCUCCAGCGGAUUUGAAUACAAUGAAGGAGAAGAAGGAAUUGAUGGAGGAAAUGUGUGCUGCUUAUUGGACUACAUUGGCUCCCAAUGUGGAGGAUUAUAAUGGAACCGCCGCGAAGCUUAUCGCGGCUGGUUCAGGACAAUUGGUUAAGGGAAUUUUGUGGUGUGGUGAUGUUACUGUUGAGAGGUUGAAAUGGGGAAAUGAGUUUAUGAAGAAGAGGAUGGGUCCACCUACACAGGCUGAGAUUAGCCCCCAAACCUUAAGGCGAAUCAAAAGGGCUAAGAAAGUGACUAAAAUGACAGAGAGUGUUGCCAAUGGGGUCCUCACUGGAGUUGUGAAGGUCUCUGGGUUUUUCACAAGUUCAGUGGCGAAUUCAAAAGCAGGGAAGAAAAUUUUCAGCCUUCUACCUGGCGAAGUUGUGCUUGCAUCGUUGGAUGGAUUCAGUAUGCAAAUUGUGUGAUGCUGUUGAAGUAUCAGGAAGAAAUGUUAUGUCAACAUCAAACACGGUGACAACCGAGAUUGUCCAUUACAGGUAUGGAGAAGAAGCUGCGAAGGCAACAAGUGAAGGACUAGAUGCUGCAGGUCAUGCUGUAGGGACUGCAUGGGCUGCUUUUAAGAUUCGGCAAGCUUUUAAUCCUAAAAGUGUUCUAAAGCCUACCACCCUGACCAAAGCUGCAGCUAAAGCUGCUGCUGCUGAGUAUAGGGCUAAAAAAUCCAAAUAAUUAAAGGAAUUACGAGUACUUCUUCAAUUAAGGUCUGGCUCUAACUAUUCUAACAUACAAAGCCACCAUUAUUCAUUACCCACAGAUUCUUUUAGACAUGUAGAGUUAUUGUAUUGUAUAUAUAUUAUUAUUAUAUUAUUAUAGGUGGCAACAUUGAUCCAAUGAUUGGAUCAUUU